rnacentral:rRNA from 1 species
AACGCGAAGAACCUUACCCAGUCUUGACAUGCAGGGGACCGCGACAGAGAUGUCGCUUUCCGCAAGGACCGCUGCACAGGUGCUGCAUGGCUGUCGUCAGCUCGUGCCGUGAGGUGUUUGGUUAAGUCCAGCAACGAGCGCAACCCUUAUCAUUAGUUGCCAACACUUAGGGUGGGAACUCUAAUGAGACUGCCUGGGUUAACCAGGAGGAAGGUGAGGAUGACGUCAAGUCAGCAUGGCCCUUAUGACUGGGGCGACACACGUGCUACAAUGGCCGGCACAGAAGGCAGCAAAGCCGUAAGGUGGAGCAAAUCCCUAAAGCCGGUCUCAGUUCAGAUUGUAGUCUGCAACUCGACUACAUGAAGUUGGAAUUGCUAGUAAUGGCGUGUCAGCCAUAACGCCGUGAAUACGUUCCCGGGCCUUGUACACACCGAUAGC